rnacentral:rRNA from 1 species
AACGAACGCUGGCGGCAUGCCUAACACAUGCAAGUCGAACGAGACCUUCGGGUCUAGUGGCGCACGGGUGCGUAACGCGUGGGAACCUGCCCUUAGGUUCGGAAUAACUCCCCGAAAGGGGUGCUAAUACCGGAUAAUGUCUUCGGACCAAAGAUUUAUCGCCUUUGGAUGGGCCCGCGUUGGAUUAGCGAGUUGGUAGGGUAAAAGCCUACCAAGGCGACGAUCCAUAGCUGGUCUGAGAGGAUGAUCAGCCACACUGGGACUGAGACACGGCCCAGACUCCUACGGGAGGCAGCAGUGGGGAAUAUUGGACAAUGGGCGCAAGCCUGAUCCAGCAAUGCCGCGUGAGUGAUGAAGGCCUUAGGGUUGUAAAGCUCUUUUACCCGGGAUGAUAAUGACAGUACCGGGAGAAUAAGCUCCGGCUAACUCCGUG